CACAGGUCGUGAGUUCGAUGAGUAGGGCGGGACACGUGACAUCCUGUCUGAAUAUGGGGGGACCAUCCUCCAAGGCUAAAUACUCCUGACUGACCGAUAGUGAACCAGUACCGUGAGGGAAAGGCGAAAAGAACCCCGGCGAGGGGAGUGAAAUAGAACCUGAAACCGUGUACGUACAAGCAGUGGGAGCACCUUCGUGGUGUGACUGCGUACCUUUUGUAUAAUGGGUCAGCGACUUAUAUUUUGUAGCAAGGUUAACCGUAUAGGGGAGCCGUAGGGAAACCGAGUCUUAACUGGGCGACUAGUUGCAAGGUAUAGACCCGAAACCCGGUGAUCUAGCCAUGGGCAGGUUGAAGGUUGGGUAACACUAACUGGAGGACCGAACCGACUAAUGUUGAAAAAUUAGCGGAUGACUUGUGGCUGGGGGUGAAAGGCCAAUCAAACCGGGAGAUAGCUGGUUCUCCCCGAAAGCUAUUUAGGUAGCGCCUCGUGAACUCAUCUUCGGGGGUAGAGCACUGUUUCGGCUAGGGGGCCAUCCCGGCUUACCAAACCGAUGCAAACUCCGAAUACCGAAGAAUGUUAUCACGGGAGACACACGGCGGGUGCUAACGUCCGUCGUGAAGAGGGAAACAACCCAGACCGCCAGCUAAGGUCCCAAAGUCAUGGUUAAGUGGGAAACGAUGUGGGAAGGCAUAGACAGCCAGGAUGUUGGCUUAGAAGCAGCCAUCAUUUAAAGAAAGCGUAAUAGCUCACUGGUCGAGUCGGCCUGCGCGGAAGAUGUAACGGGGCUAAACCAUGCACCGAAGCUGCGGCAGCGACGCUUAGGCGUUGUUGGGUAGGGGAGCGUUCUGUAAGCCGUUGAAGGUGGCCUGUGAGGGUUGCUGGAGGUAUCAGAAGUGCGAAUGCUGACAUAAGUAACGAUAAAGCGGGUGAAAAGCCCGCUCGCCGGAAGACCAAGGGUUCCUGUCCAACGUUAAUCGGGGCAGGGUGAGUCGACCCCUAAGGCGAGGCUGAAAAGCGUAGUCGAUGGGAAACAGGUUAAUAUUCCUGUACUUGGUGUUACUGCGAAGGGGGGACGGAGAAGGCUAGGCUGGCCGGGCGACGGUUGUCCCGGUUUAAGCGUGUAGGGGGUGUGACCUGGUAAAUCCGGUUGCAUAUCAACCCUGAGGCGUGAUGACGAUGCACUACGGUGCAGAAGUAGUUGAUGCCCUGCUUCCAGGAAAAUCCUCUAAGCUCCAGGUAACAUUAAAUCGUACCCCAAACCGACACAGGUGGUCAGGUAGAGAAUACCAAGGCGCUUGAGAGAACUCGGGUGAAGGAACUAGGCAAAAUGGUGCCGUAACUUCGGGAGAAGGCACGCUGGCAUGUAGGUGAAGUCCCU
rnacentral:rRNA from 1 species